rnacentral:lncRNA from 1 species
CUGAACUCCUCUUAAACUGCAAUUUUGAAAUGCAGCUAGAGAACAGACACAGGUCAGGUCUUAACCUUCAGGUCUGGUGAGCAAUUAACACUGAUACAGCAAUUUUCAACAGGAAACCUAAAGUAAAGUAAGUGGUGGCAGAGCUCUGACCCUCAGCUGCAACAAAUGAACUAACUCCAGCCUUCAGAGAGAGAACGACUUAUUUUCAGCCUGGACUCUCUUCACUCUACCAGCCUGAAGCUCAUCUGUACAACCACGUGGCAACUGGUGUUGGGGUUCUUGCUUGAGGCUCUUCUACUGCUGAUCAUCUCUCUCUCAGUUUAAGACCAAGAAUGUUGGCUUACCAUAUCCACAAGCUAAACAUGUUCUCACCUAGCCUCGUUUCGCCUGAGGUGCAGGAGGAGAGGGUCAUCUCAGCACUUGGAUGCCCCCUGAGCUGUUAGCCCAUCACCUGGGUGACAGGUCACCGCAGGAGCCUCUGCUUCCGCUGCAGAUGCUGAACCCUUGUCUCCAGUGUCUUCUCCUCACCUCUGCCCCUGGGGUCAUCACCUUUAACCUCACCUGUACUCAACUGGGGUCAAACUGAGGGUCAGGCUGGGUCAGGUCUAGGCAGGAGGUCAUACAGGCAGUCUAUAAUGAGUUCCUUCACAGUGGGUAAAGUCUUUAUACCUAUAGUAGCGAGAGAAAGUAAGAAGGAAAGAGUUUUAGACUUUUUCUAUUGGCCUUGGCCAACACCAGCACCUCUACCACUCUACCAGCAACAGCAGCAGCAGCAAAAGUAGCAGCCCAGGCUAGUUAACACGGAGACAUUGGAGAUAAGAAAGUAUGUUUGCAAAUAAAAGAGACUGAGAGAAUCAGAGACAGUUUUGCUCACCAGCUCCAUCAAUGGGAGAAAGACAACAAAAAGAAAAGAAGAGAGAUGGACUCCAGAAGCCUGAAGCUCUGGAGCUGCAGUUGGAGGCAGAAAGCGCUCCCUGGCUAACUAAAGGAAGAUGGAGUGCAUGGCGCUACUGUACAUCCCCACAGCCAGUAAAGGAAGAGGUGAUGGAGAGAGAGAAGUAGAGGAAGGGCAAGAGGUUAGAUGCUUCAACCCUGGGUGAAAUUUAGUGGAGAAGAGAAGACUCAUCGUAGAUUUCAAUGGAAGGUAAUGUAAAAAUAUUUGAUUAUAUAUUUAUUACUUAACUUUUUAUGGAAGCUUGCUCUUAUAGCCUACAACACUAUUGAUUUGUAUUGGUCCAUACCCAUAAAACAUUUUAAAACUAUCUAUUAUGACUUAAUGCUAUAUUCAAAAGUAAAAGAAAAGGUCAAAAAGAUUGUGUGUGAUAGCAAUUGCAUUAUAUUAUUGUAUUAUCAUACCAAACAAUAAACCAAUUAAUGCAAUACCUAAGCA